AGCUUGCUUCUCUGAUGUUAGCGGCGGACGGGUGAGUAACACGUGGAUAACCUACCUAUAAGACUGGGAUAACUUCGGGAAACCGGAGCUAAUACCGGAUAAUAUUUUGAACCGCAUGGUUCAAAAGUGAAAGACGGUCUUGCUGUCACUUAUAGAUGGAUCCGCGCUGCAUUAGCUAGUUGGUAAGGUAACGGCUUACCAAGGCAACGAUGCAUAGCCGACCUGAGAGGGUGAUCGGCCACACUGGAACUGAGACACGGUCCAGACUCCUACGGGAGGCAGCAGUAGGGAAUCUUCCGCAAUGGGCGAAAGCCUGACGGAGCAACGCCGCGUGAGUGAUGAAGGUCUUCGGAUCGUAAAACUCUGUUAUUAGGGAAGAACAUAUGUGUAAGUAACUGUGCACAUCUUGACGGUACCUAAUCAGAAAGCCACGGCUAACUACGUGCCAGCAGCCGCGGUAAUACGUAGGUGGCGAGCGUUAUCCGGAAUUAUUGGGCGUAAAGCGCGCGUAGGCGGUUUUUUAAGUCUGAUGUGAAAGCCCACGGCUCAACCGUGGAGGGUCAUUGGAAACUGGAAAACUUGAGUGCAGAAGAGGAAAGUGGAAUUCCAUGUGUAGCGGUGAAAUGCGCAGAGAUAUGGAGGAACACCAGUGGCGAA
rnacentral:rRNA from 1 species